CCUGAGUACGACGGAGCACGUGAAAUUCCGUCGGAAUCUGGGAGGACCAUCUCCUAAGGCUAAAUACUCUCUAGUGACCGAUAGUGAACCAGUACCGUGAGGGAAAGGUGAAAAGUACCCCGGAAGGGGAGUGAAAGAGAACUUGAAACCGUGUGCUUACAAGUAGUCAGAGCCCGUUAAUGGGUGAUGGCGUGCCUUUUGUAGAAUGAACCGGCGAGUUACGAUCUGAUGCAAGGUUAAGCAGAAAAUGUGGAGCCGUAGCGAAAGCGAGUCUGAAUAGGGCGAAUGAGUAUUUGGUCGUAGACCCGAAACCAGGUGAUCUACCCUUGGUCAGGUUGAAGUUCAGGUAACACUGAAUGGAGGACC
rnacentral:rRNA from 1 species